GGGGAUGUUUUAUAAUCGACAGCUCUUUAUGAAGAUAACACUGCAAAUCGAGUAUUGUCCGCUUUCUCGUAAAACGUGCGGGCGUAAAGACACGUGCAAAUAACGUUGUCAUGCGAAUGAAGGAAGGUUUCAGCCGCGCUCUGCGUGCGUUGUCACUUCCAACACUCGCUUCCGUUGCUGCUUAAAAGCGGUAACCAUCCGUCUCUCUGACUCCUGAUAGGAGAAGUUCGGGUGUCAUCAUAUCAGGAUGAAUGCAGGAAGUGUCUUGUACCUGUAUUGACUCUUUCAAGACUCCAAGGAAGGCAUCUUGCUUGAUCUCAAAGUCUUCCUGAAGAUGCCGAUCAAGCUAUAUUUGUAGAAAGGGUUGUCUCGUAGAGCUGCACAGGGGUGUGAUUCCCCUCAUCUCCACCA
rnacentral:tmRNA from 4 species